GUUGACCUCGGAUCAGGUAGGAUACCGCG
rnacentral:rRNA from 1 species